rnacentral:rRNA from 1 species
CCAGACUCCUACGGGAGGCAGCAGUGAGGAAUAUUGGUCAAUGGCCGAGAGGCUGAACCAGCCAAGUCGCGUGAGGGAAGACGGCCCUACGGGUUGUAAACCUCUUUUGUCGGGGAGCAAAGCGAACCACGUGUGGUUCAUUGAGAGUACCCGAAGAAAAAGCAUCGGCUAACUCCGUGCCAGCAGCCGCGGUAAUACGGAGGAUGCGAGCGUUAUCCGGAUUUAUUGGGUUUAAAGGGUGCGCAGGCGGAGGUGCAAGUCAGCGGUAAAAUUGCGGGGCUCAACCCCGGCCUGCCGUUGAAACUGGCGGCCUCGAGUGGGCGAGAAGUAUGCGGAAUGCGUGGUGUAGCGGUGAAAUGCAUAGAUAUCACGCAGAACUCCGAUUGCGAAGGCAGCAUACCGGCGCCCGACUGACGCUGAGGCACGAAAGCGUGGGUAUCGAACAGGAUUAGAUACCCGCGUAAUC